UUCAAAAUAAAAUAAGAACUGAUGCUUCCUUCGCGCCAUCUCCGCGCCGCCGUGCGGCAGAGAAGCCACCGCCCCCCAGCCGCCGGAGAAGCCUUCUCCGGAAAGCUCGAUGCGGAUGUGAUCCGGCGCAACAAGGCCAUCACGGUCCACAUGCGCGCCGGCCGCGUCGGCGAGGCCGAGCGCCUAUUUGACGCCAUGCCCAGCCGCUCCACCUCCACCUACAACGCCAUGCUCGCCGGGUAUGCCUCCAAUGGACGCCUCCCUGUCGCGCUCUCCCUCUUCCGCUCCAUCCCACGCCCGGACACAUUCUCCUACAACACUCUCCUCCAUGCGCUUGCAGUCUCAUCGUCCCUCACUGACGCCCGUAGCCUGUUCGACCAAAUGCCGGUGAAGGACUCAGUGACAUACAACGUCAUGAUCUCGUCUCAUGCCAACCAUGGACUUGUCUCUCUUGCACGGAAGUACUUCGAUCUUGCUCCGGAGAAGGAUGCUGUCUCAUGGAACGGCAUGCUUGCUGCUUAUGUCCGGAAUGGACGGGUUCAAGAAGCAAGGGAGUUGUUUAAUUCAAGGACAGAGUGGGAUGCCAUUUCUUGGAACGCCUUGAUGGCUGGGUAUGUGCAGUUGGGUCGGAUGGCAGAAGCACAGGAGCUUUUUGAUAGGAUGCCACAAAGAGAUGUUGUUUCCUGGAACACCAUGGUCUCAGGUUAUGCCAGGGGAGGGGAUAUGGUGGAGGCAAGAAGGAUGUUCGACAUGGCACCCGUGCGUGAUGUGUUCACAUGGACAGCAGUAGUUUCUGGGUAUGCGCAAAAUGGAAUGCUGGAGGAUGCCCGGAUGGUGUUUGAUGCCAUGCCUGAGAGGAACCCAGUGUCAUGGAAUGCAAUGGUGGCAGCUUAUGUCCAGCGGAGGAUGAUGGAGAAAGCAAAGGAGCUGUUUGACAUCAUGCCUUGCAGGAAUGUGGCGUCAUGGAACACAAUGUUGACAGGGUAUGCUCAGGCAGGGAUGUUGGAUGAGGCAAGGGCAGUUUUUGACAUGAUGCCACAGAAAGAUGCAGUCUCUUGGGCUGCAAUGUUGGCUGCAUACGCACAAGGUGGUUUCAGUGAGGAAACCCUACAGCUGUUCAUCAAAAUGGGGCGGUGCGGUGAGUGGGUGAAUAGGUCAGCAUUCGCUUGUUUGUUGAGCACAUGUGCUGACAUUGCUGCACUAGAGUGUGGAAUGCAGCUGCAUGGGAGGUUGAUUAAAGCUGGAUACGGGUUGGGUAGGUUUGUUGGGAAUGCGCUCUUAGCUAUGUACUUCAAAUGUGGAAACAUGGAGGAUGCUCGAAAUGCAUUUGAGCAGAUGGAGGACAGGGAUGCAGUUUCUUGGAAUACUGUGAUCGCCGGUUAUGCACGUCAUGGUUUUGGCAAGGAAGCACUUGAGGUGUUCGAUAUGAUGAGAGCGACAUCAACCAAGCCAGAUGAUAUUACUCUAGUUGGAGUACUUGCAGCUUGUAGUCAUUCUGGCUUGGUUGAGAAAGGCAUUUCAUACUUUUAUUCGAUGCACCGCGAUUUCGGUGUGACAGCGAAGCCUGAACAUUAUACUUGUAUGAUAGACUUGCUUGGACGAGCUGGUCGAUUAGAUGAAGCACAGGGCCUUAUGAAGGACAUGCCAUUUGAGCCAGACGCUACCAUGUGGGGUGCAUUGCUUGGUGCGAGUAGGAUCCACCGCAACUCCGAACUAGGCAAGAGUGCAGCUGAGAAAAUAUUUGAGUUGGAGCCUGAAAAUGCUGGCAUGUAUGUCUUGCUUUCAAAUAUAUAUGCAUCUUCUGGCAAAUGGCGUGAUGUGGGGAAGAUGAGAGUUAUGAUGGAGGAUCGCGGUGUGAAAAAAGUGCCUGGAUUCAGUUGGAUGGAAGUACAAAACAAAGUACACACUUUCUCGGUUGGUGACUGUGUGCACCCCGAAAAGGAAAAGAUAUAUGCUUUCCUGGAAGACCUUGACAUGAGGAUUAAGAAAGCUGGCUAUGUGUCAGCUACAGAAAUGGUUUUGCAUGAUGUGGAGGACGAAGAGAAGGAACACAUGCUAAAGUAUCAUAGCGAGAAGCUUGCUGUUGCUUAUGGUAUUCUAAAUAUUCCUGUUGGGAGGCCUAUCCGAGUGAUCAAAAACCUCAGAGUAUGCGGAGAUUGUCACAAUGCUUUCAAGUAUAUCUCUGCAAUUGAGGGCAGGCUGAUCAUCCUGCGGGACUCUAACCGCUUUCACCACUUCAGAGAUGGUUCUUGUUCCUGUGGUGAUUACUGGUGACUGCAGAGUAGAAUCUGGUGUGAAGUAUUCCUGACGGAAUUUACAGUUGACAGCAAACAAUGACCAUGCAAUGCAAGAUGCAAACACAAAUUAAGAGGGAUUGUGAUGACUGGGUGUCUGGGGCUGGCCAUCCAUCCACUAGGCCUACUACUGAAGUACUGCUCUAAGGAAUAUGUUUGUUGGUCUACAUGAGGCCUUGCAUUUCAAUCAUGUGUGCUGAGAUGGGAAGGAGAAUCCACAAAGAAAAUAUUUCCUAUCUCAUGUGAUGGAAGCCUUGAUCAACAGUAAUAUGUGGACAAGAUUUUAGCUAUGCAUGUGUUGGUUGGAAGGACUUUGGACAUCAAGGAUGAACCUGCAAGGAUUAUUAUUCUGUAUCCAGUACUGAAAGCAGCCAUGUAGACAUUUUGCUAUGUCAGUUCAGUCAGAAUAGCCAUGGCAGGAGAAGGGUAUGUUCCAUAGUCUUGCGUCAAAUGGAUAGUUGAUGCAUUGCUGACUGAGCUGCAAGAAAUAUGAUCUGAAAUGCAUCAUGACAACUAAUCGAGUUGCUAUCAGCGAUGCAAGCAGCAAGGAGCAGGCCGGCUCAGUUUGUGUUCUCAAGGCGGCGAUUGCCUUCAGUUCAUGCCUGGAUGGAUCUGUGGAAUCCGCAUUUAUAUUUCUGCUAAUCCAGGUUUUCUUGCUUCCAAUAUAUUCUGUCAAAUCAGAAGGUUUGUGUGGGAAAACAACGCUGGGAAGAGUUUCGAUGCUCAAUUUUUUAUAGAUGAGUUGCAAGAUGUUUAUCUACAGUAAACAGAAACAUGCACGCACGCACGCAUGCUAUGACACUGGUGAGUGGUGACCUAGCUAGCAUCAUCCGUCCAUCCUUACCAAGCAUACACUAGGAAAAAUGGACUUGCAAAAAUCCAGUAUGGAAAUGGACUUAUGUUUUCUUCGUCCACACAAAGGAUGGAAAUCCAGUAUGUUUCUUCUUCCUUCAUGUAUGCUUGAGACCACAAAAACUUCGAAAACUACAAAUAGGGGAGAAGGCUUUUAAUUCUUGUGGAAUAUUUUUAUUAUUUGUAGGCAUUUACGUAAACAAGGAGUUAUAAUUAUAAUUCUGUACUGGCUUUACUAUUGCUAUAAAAGUCCCCUGGAGAUACAAGCCACACAACCUGUCCAAAUGACAGAGAACAAGAGCAAG